CUUGGGUGCUGCCUCACCUCCUGGAUGAAAUGAUGCAAUCUCUACGUCAGCUUCACUGGUUGGCUGGCCGUUUCUCCUGCCUGGCUUUGUGGUGAAGGUGUUGGACUCAGGGGUUCCGGCCCCGGGCCCGGCGAGCAAUCACUCAGCCAACAAUCAGAUCAGCAGCCGCCCCGCAAAGCCCUGCGCUGCAGGCUCCUCGAUUGCCUCCAUUUGUCCGCCUGUCAA